rnacentral:misc_RNA from 1 species
GAUGAAGAACGUAGCGAAAUGCGAUAAGUAAUGUGAAUUGCAGAAUUCAGUGAAUCAUCGAAUCUUUGAACGCACAUUGCGCCCGCCAGUAUUCUGGCGGGCAUGCCUGUUCGAGCGUCAUUACAACCCUCAGGCCCCCGGGCCUGGCGUUGGGGAUCGGCGAGGCGCCCCCCGCGGGCACGCGCCGUCCCCCAAAUACAGUGGCGGUCCCGCCGCAGCUUCCAUUGCGUAGUAGCUAACACCUCGCAACUGGAGAGCGGCGCGGCCAUGCCGUAAAACACCCAACUUCUGAAUGUUGACCUCGAAUCAGGUAGGAAUACCCGCUGAACUUAAGCAUGUCAAUAAGCGGAGGA